rnacentral:rRNA from 1 species
GGAGGCAGCAGUAAGGAAUAUUGCACAAUGGGCGCAAGCCUGAUGCAGCCAUGCCGCGUGUAUGAAGAAGGCCCUAGGGUUGUAAAGUACUUUCAGUCGGGAGGAAGGCGUUGAUGCUAAUAUCAUCAACGAUUGACGUUACCGACAGAAGAAGCACCGGCUAACUCCGUGCCAGCAGCCGCGGUAAUACGGAGGGUGCAAGCGUUAAUCGGAAUUACUGGGCGUAAAGCGCACGCAGGCGGUUGAUUAAGUUAGAUGUGAAAUCCCCGGGCUUAACCUGGGAAUGGCAUCUAAGACUGGUCAGCUAGAGUCUUGUAGAGGGGGGUAGAAUUCCAUGUGUAGCGGUGAAAUGCGUAGAGAUGUGGAGGAAUACCGGUGGCGAAGGCGGCCCCCUGGACAAAGACUGAC